GCCUGAGCAGCCAUGCCGCGUGUAUGAAGAAGGCCUUCGGGUUGUAAAGUACUUUCAGCGGGAGGAGGGGCUGUUAAUAACCACAGCAAUUGACGUUACCCGAGAAAAGCGCCCGCUAACUCCGUGCCAGCAGCCGCGGUAAUACGGAGGGUGCAAGCGUUAAUCGGAAUUACUGGGCGUUUACAGUCAAAGGAAGGUCUGUCAAGUCGGAUGUGAAAUCCCCGGGCUCAACCUGGGAACUGCAUUCGAAACUGGGAGGCUAGAGUUUGUAGAGGGGGGUAGAAUUCCAGGUGUAGCGGUGAAAUGCGUAGAGAUCUGGAGGAAUA
rnacentral:rRNA from 1 species